CAACCAAUCAAUGACUUGUGUGCAUCUGAGUAAAAUUACUGCCGUUGUUUGUCAACAACAACUAUCGGCGAUGUAUAUUUCGUUUGUGACUGUUAUUUAUAACAUCGUUCGUACCAGUUAUGUAUGUAUG